rnacentral:rRNA from 1 species
UGCACAGGCUGUUGCUGGCCUCCAGGGGUACCGUGCACGCUUGUCAUCUUUAUCUUCUCCACUUGUGCACAUAUUGUAGACCUGAGAUCAGAAGAUAUUUUCGAGUUGGGACUGCUGUGCUUCAUUCAGUUGAAGUCAGCUUUGCCUUGUAUUUUUCAGGUCUAUGUCAUUUUUUCACAAUCUCUUGACGUGUUUAGAAUGUUGAAUCAGGUCGUUUUGUACCUAUAAAGUUGAAUAUACAACUUUCAGCAACGGAUCUCUUGGCUCUCGCAUCGAUGAAGAACGCAGCGAAAUGCGAUAAGUAAUGUGAAUUGCAGAAUUCAGUGAAUCAUCGAAUCUUUGAACGCAUCUUGCGCUCCUUGGUAUUCCGAGGAGCAUGCCUGUUUGAGUGUCAUUUAAGUUUCUCAACCACAUCAAAUUUGAUGAGGCUUGGAUGUGGGGGUCUUUCUUGCAGGCAUCUUUCAAAGUCUGCUCCCCUAAAAUGCAUUAGUGGUAUCUGCUGCUGCUAUAGGUGUGAUAAUUAUCUAUGUCUUUAGUAUGCUGUGAAACAGAUUGCGCUGCUUCUAACAAGUGAAGAUCUUCUUUUUGAUAAGAAGGCCACAUUUGACGAAUUUGACCUCAAAUCAGGUAGGACUACCCGCUGAACUUAAGCAUAUCAAUAA